UACGUAGGUGGCGAGCGUUAUCCGGAUUUACUGGGUGUAAAGGGUGUGUAGGCGGAGGAGCAAGUCAGAUGUGAAAUAUUAAGGCUCAACCUUGAUACUGCAUUUGAAACUGUUCCCCUUGAGUGUGGGAGAGGUAAGCGGAAUUCCCGGUGUAACGGUGAAAUGUGUAGAUAUCGGGAGGAAUACCGGUGGCGAAGGCGGCUUACUGGACCAUAACUGACGCUGAGACACGAAAGCGUGGGGAG
rnacentral:rRNA from 1 species